rnacentral:rRNA from 1 species
AUGUCCAUAGAAGAGUACUAUGGAGCUUUCACUCGCAUCACUGGGCAGCUAGGUUCCAUGGUUCCAAAGGGUAAUUCUGGUUGUGAGUCAUGUGCAGCGAAGGAAAAGUACGACCAUCAGACUCUCAUGUUUCAGUUUGUGAUGGGUCUCAAGCCAGACUUUGAGAACAUUCGCAUUCAAUUUCUUGGUCGUACGACUCCUCCCACCUUGACAGAGGCACUUGCUAGCUUGAUCGCCGAGGAGACUCGUCUCCGUUCUCUUGGGACUACUUCUGCGCAGACUCUACACAGUAGUGUUCUGGCUUUUCCUCGGCGGCCAGGUGCCUCCAAGGCCACACCUUCAGCUGUCGUCUGCUCGUUCUUCAAGAAGGGAGGACACCAUAGAGAUGGUUGUUUCAAGCUUCAUCCAGAGCUGUUAGCUGAGUUUCAGGCUAGACGGGCCCUCAAUCAGUAG